AAAAUGUGUAAAAGUUCAAGGGGGCUGAAUACUUUUGCAAGCCAGUGUAAAAUGCAAAAGUCACAUUUAAGCGACCACAGUCUCCCUACAGGGUUUCUAAUGACAAGGAGCAAAAACAAAGACUGAUUUAAAACACACCAAAGGGCAGAGAGGAGGUAACCAAGUCCUGGGAGAUGCAAAGCCCACAGAUAUAAAUGUCAGAGAUUUAGAGAUUUCUCCAGAUACAGACAGACAAACUGGUGGCAGCUAACCAACCGGACAUAGUAGUGGAAGACAAGCAGAAGCAGCAGACGGCCGUAGUGAUAGACAUAGUGAUACCGAAUGACAGCAACAUCAGGAAUAAAUAACACGAGAAGCUGCAGAAGUACCAAAGGGUCAGAGAAGAUGUGGAGGGUGAAGGUAACAGUGAUCCCAGUGGUAAUCAGAGCACUAGGUGCAGUGACUCCCAAACUAGGCAAGUGGCUCCAGCAGAUCCCAGGAAUAACAUCAGAGAUCUCUGUCCAGAAGAGCGCAGUCCUAGGAACAGCUAAGAUACUGCGCAGGACCCUCAAACUCCCAGGUCUCUGGUAGAGGACCUGAGCUUGAAGGAUAGACCACCUGUAGGGGCGAGAGGGGAAUUUUUACAGAUAUACCAGAGUAACUGCAUCUCUUUCUAUCACGUUUUCUUCAUGAUGAAUAACAAUAAAGGAUCCUUGAUCCCAAUAGACAUCA